rnacentral:lncRNA from 1 species
GGCGGUCUGAAUCCAGACAGGUAAAGGACUGAAGCGCCUGGAAACCGAUGUCUUGUAAUACCUGUGCGGCCGAGCGAUGUCCGCAGUUGAAGUUGAAAUUUUAAACCUUCUGUGCGCAGCGGGAGCGCAGUGGGCCGACCUCCUAGGCCCGCGCUUCGGUGCUGGGGGCGCGCCCUCCCCGCCCCCCGAAGAACCCUGUGCCCGGGAAUGGGAAAGCCUCCUCUCCUCGCCUCCGACGCGCAGCGCCGGGCCCCUUUCCUCCCGGGGAGGUGGAUUCCAGGGCACCGCAGACUCCUCCCCAGGUAGCAGCAUCCGCUGCUCGGGGCAGCGCAGCUCGGCUCCGGAACCCUGCGACCCGGCGGCACAGCUGGAGGGCAGGGCGUCCCGCGUAGCCUCUGGCCCACCGCAGGCCGCGCACGCGGGUUUCGGUUCUGGAGACCCGACGGAGCCCUCCCCUACUCCCCCGGACCCCCGCCCGCUUCCCUCUUCUACGUGUGGCCUCCCCCCGCCCCACGCGGGCUCCGACCGACACGGACCGCGAGGGUCCCGCAGGUUGCGACCUCCUGCGGCGCUCCCCGGAGGGAGGCCGAGCGCGAGGGCGGGGCCGGGGCCGGGGCCGGGGCCAUCCGAGGGGCGCUCUGGGCGCCGCGGGCGUAGCGAGGGCCGCCUGCGAGCACCGCGCGCCGGGACAGCCGCUCCGGGCGGCCUCCGCGUCCUGGCGCACCUCCCCGGGCGGCGCGUCACUUCCCUGCGCUUCACCCGCAGGCCGCUCCGGCCCCGCUCCGGCCCCGCUGCAGCCCCGCUCCUCUGGGCGGCCCCGGCCCGCCUGGUGGUGCUCCCCGGGCAGGGCAACGGGCGCGGCGCCCCUCGGCCGGCGUGGAGGGGGCCGGGGCUCAGGCGGCAGGUCGGUGGCGGCGCACGGCCGGGCCGAGCCCUCCGAGCAGCGGGGCCCGCAGCGGGGCGCACCCGACAGUCCCCGGGCCCGGCGCAGCCGCCGCAGGGCAGCGCAGCGCAGCGCAGCGCAGCCGCCGCAGGGCGAGGCCGGCCCCGGCUCUGCGGCCACCGGCCCCGGCUGUCCGGCCGCGGGGGGCACGUGCGUGGACGCGGGUGCUUGUGUAACCAGCUCCCCCGGCGCCGCGCCCGCCCGCCGCCCGCCACUCGCCGCCCCACCGCCGCCGCUCGCCGGCCGCCCCCGACCCUCCUCGGGGACUGGGAAUUUGGAAAGUUCCCCAACUAGGGCACACGUGACCGCCCCUGGAAGUAGUCCCGGCCGCGGCCCGCGGAGCCCUCCGCCGCCCCCGGAAGCCCCUCGGCCCCGCCCACCCGCCGGGCCGGCGCUCCCUCCCGGCCCGGACUCCUGGCUCGGGCCCGGGGCGCAGCCCGACGCGCGGACGCCCACGCCGGCCCGCGGCCAUCCAGCCGGCCGGGUUUUCGCGGCGGCCCGCGGGGGGCGGGGCCAGGCGGCCUCGGAGCCCGGAGCCCGGAGCCCGGAGCCCCGAGCCCCGAGCCCCGCGCGGACCGGGCAGCAGGCGCCCCGAGGGACGGACGCCCGCUCUCGGGGGCGAGGCCGGGGCGGCGCGGUGGUCGCGUCCCCGGGGUCCUGGGCCCGCGGCGGCGGGGGUGGGGCGGCGGGGCGAGCCGGGGGCGGGGACACGCGCGGAGACACAAUGGGGGGAGUUCCUCGGGCUCACGCCGACACGCGGGGGGCGGACACGCGAGGGGCGGACACGCGAGGGACAGGCACGGGGGGACACGCGGGGGGACACCGACACGCGGGGACACAAUGGCGGUGUUCCUCGUGCUCACGCCGACACGCGGGGGACGGACACGCGGGGGGCACAAUGUGGGUGUCCUCGUGCUCACACCAACGCGGGAGGGACGGGGGAACACACGCGGGGGGUGCUCGUGGUCACACCGACACGCGGGGAGCAGGCACGGGGGCAGUGGCCACGCGAGGGCCAUAGUGGGGGUGAUCCUCGUGCUCGGACACGCGGGGAGCGGACACGCGGGGGCACACGGGGCGGACACAGGGAGCUGCGGGCGGGGGAGGGGCGCCCCGGGUCCGCUGGCCCCGCCCUCGCCCCCUGCGCCCCCGGUGCGCGGCGACCUCCGUCCGACUCGGGUCCCCGACGCCCCCGCCCGCCCGUCCGUCCGUCCGCCGCUGCAGGAGCGGCCGCGGCAAGUGCAGCUCCGGGGGCCGCUCGCACUGGGCAUGCGCGGCGGUCGCCCCCCGCCCCUCCCCCCGCCCGGCCCCGGCCCCCCCCGGCCCCCGCCUCCCCCCGCCUCCCCCCGGCCCCCGCCUCCCCCCGGGCUCCGGGGCGCCGGGCUCGCUGCGGCGGCGGCGGCGGCGGCGGCGGCGGCGGCGGCGGCGGGGGCGGGGGCGGCGGUGAUGUGGCGGGACUCUUUGUGCGCCGCGGCAGGAUACGCGGCGGGGCGGGCGUGCGCGCUGCUCGGCGCCUCGUCUCGGAAGCUGCAGCCAUGAUGGAAGUUUGAGAGUUGCGCCGCGGAGAGGCGAGGCCGCGCGCAGGGAGGGAGAUGAGAGACGGCGGCGGCCGCGGCCCAGAGCCCCUCUCAGCGCCC